rnacentral:rRNA from 1 species
GAUGAACGCUGGCGGCGUGCUUAACACAUGCAAGUCGAACGAUUAAGCCCAGCUUGCUGGGUGGAUUAGUGGCGAACUGGUGAGUAACACGUGAGUAACCUUCCCUUAACUCUGGGUUAUGCCUGGGCAACUGGGUCUAAUACCGGUUAGUACCGUCCACCGCAUGGUGGGUGUUGGAAAGCUUUAUCGGUUUUGGAUGGACUCGCGGCCUAUCAGCUUGUUGGUGCGGUAAUCGCUUACCAAGGCGACGACGGGUAGCCGGCCUGAGAGGGUGACCGGCCACACUGGGACUGAGACACGGCCCAGAAUACUAAGGGAGGCCGCAGUGGGGAAUAUUGCACGAUGGGAGCAAGCCUGAUGCAGCGACGCGGCGUGAGGGAUGACGGCCUUCUGGUUGUAUACCUCUUUCAGUAGGGAAGAAGCGAAAGCGACGGUCCCUGCCGAAGAAGCACCGGCUCACUACGUG